CACACACACACACACACACACACACACACACACACACACACAGAGUGCUCGUCAAAAGAGGACCCCCACCCACAGGGGGUUUGCCAUACAAAGACUCUGCAGUCCAUUCUCGGGGACCCCAGUAUAAUGACUGCACUGGAUGCCUAGUGUAUGGAAGGUAUUUUGCGGGCCUAGGGAGAGACAGCAGGAAUGGGACUGGCUGGGGCUUGGACUUGAGGAGACUGAUCUCAGGAGGGGCGAGCAUCCAGGUAGGGAGCUAGUAGGCCUGGGUGGGGAGGUAUGGGCAGGAUGUAGACUCUAGGUCCUGGAAGGCUUUGGGAACAGCUUUUAGUCAGGAUUCCAGGUUGGGAUAUGUAGGUCUGCUGAGUACCCCAUCGGGAGCCCCAGCUGACUCAUGGUGCUUUUUCUGUCUCCCUGGUGCAGGAGGAGGAACCCGACUGACUGGCGUGGUAGUCAGGGUUCAGAGACAGUCAGGUAUCUCUCUAUCCCUGGAGUCUUGGUGCUGAGGGGAGAGUAGGAGAGGAAUUGUUUCCUUAGCUCUUUCCCUUAGCAACAGGCUCUCACCCUGAGCCAACUGGGCAUGCUCCUCCCAAACAGAUAGCUUUUAUGAAGAGUUAAUAAAUUAGCCUCCUGGGAAAAGAAUCUGCUGUGGUGCCGGAGAGGCCUUUGCAACCAGAGCCAGAGACAUAGCUCACCGAGUCAAAACACAUGUCCGUUGGUGUGACAUCGGGCCCUCCUUGGAGUGUGCAGCUCAGGAAGGGGGAAGGAAGAUGGGUCCAGACUGCUGAAUGGAACCCUCAUAGCGCCUCUGAGGGUGCUCUCCCAUGUCAUGGAAGGAGCCUGACAUGCAGGUUAAAUGAAAUUGACUCGCUUUGGCUCGGAGGUUCCGAGAAGGCCAGGCUUGUAGAUUCUGUUUGUCUUUUCCUGUUGACUUUCCCUCUGUCCUCCUCUGAUGGUUGAUAACACCCCGUGGGCCCGCAGGUCGUGUGGAAGGCCCCAGCUCUGCCGUCAGAUUUCAGAGCGUUUGCAUUGUGUGUAUUUGAAGGGAAUCUGACCUAAGUGGGCAUGGUGGGGCUCGUUUGGAGUUUCGGCUCCUGAAGAUUGAAGCCAAGGGAGCUCUUACCAGUGUUAGAAGUCAGCCUGUAUAACAUAGCCAGUCUCCCAUCUCAAACCAACCAAAAUCAACAACAAACAAACAAACAGCUCCGAGAGCAGAACAGAGGCAGAGAGGAUGUGAGGCUGGUGCUGUUAGGGUAUGGGAGCAUCAAUUCAGUGGGCGUUUAUUUGGGUCUGUUUUUCUUACCAUUCAGGGUACAGAGAGACCUGGCUUCUGCUUCCUCCAGUGUCUAGAAAGUGACCCGGCUCUGGGGACACUGGGUUCUCCUUACUUACUUUUUUUUAUUCAAUGAGGAAGAGCUUUUCUGGUCAUCUCUUGAGUUUCUCUCUGCUUGUCCCUUACCAACUGCGGGCCUUCUGGGGCUCGGAGUUCAUGCUGCCUGUGGAGAGGAGCCGUUCCUGCCUGCUAAUGAGAGCAAAUGAACACUUCCUACUGAGACCUGCUGCUUAUAAAGUUAGAUUCAUGUACACUUUGAACACACACACACACACACACACACACACACACACACACACCCUUACCGUAGAGUAGUAACAAAACUGUCCUGCCCAGCUCAUUACACAGGUGUAGGUACCUCCCCCUGCCCUAGCUUUCCCCUGCGCCCCAGCUGUGGAUCUGAAUUCUAGGCUAGCUUUCACAACCAUCUUACAUGACGAUGAGGUCGAAGAUUGUGUAUUUUGCUGGCUACUUUUAUGUCAGCUUGAUACAAGCUAGAGACAUCUGACAGAAAGGACCAUCAAUUGAGAAAUGCCUCUGUAGCCCGGCAGUGGUGGCAUGCGCCUUUAAUCCCAGCACUUGGGAGGCAGAGGCAGGCAGGUCUCUGAGUUCGAGACCAGCCUGGUCUACAGAGUGAGCUCCAGGACAGCUCUACACAGGGCUACACAGAGAAACCCUGUCUUGG
rnacentral:lncRNA from 1 species